rnacentral:piRNA from 1 species
CUGCAUCCCAGCCACUCCAGCCAUCGCUGA